rnacentral:lncRNA from 1 species
AUGUCUGUUUUGGAGGAGAACCCAGGUAUGAAAAUGGACUGUGAAGACUGGGAAAGAUAUGAGCCUCAGUGCUCCUCAGAAGGUCCAAGAGUGAAGCCCAAAGGCCCGGAGAAAUUCAUCAUCCAUGACAGGGAUCAAAAAGUUUUGGUCCUGGACUCCAAGAUCCUCAGAGCAGUUCCAGAUAGGACUUACAUAGUCCCAGAAAUCUUCUUUGUAUUAGCCUCCCGUGUGAUGUCAGCUCAUGAGAACAAAGGAAGCCCCAUUCUUCUAGCCGUCUCUAAAGGCGAGCUGUGUCUCUACUGUGACAAAAACAAAGGACACAACAAGCCAUCCCUGCAGCUGAAGAAGAAGAAACUUUCCACACUGGCUGCCCAGGAGAAAGGGAAAUGUCUGCCCUACAUCUUUUAUCGGAAUAAAGUCAGCUCUCGGAAUACCUUAGAGUCGGCUGCCCACCCUGGAUGGUUUAUCUGCACCUUCCGCUAUCCUGGGAAACCAGUUGGAAUGACAAAAUGUCACGGAGAAAGGAAACACACUGAGUUUUCAUUUCGGCAGAUCUAUGAAGCUGAAACGAGCCCCAGUGAAGUCAGUGAAUAA